rnacentral:rRNA from 1 species
UCUUGGUCAUUUAGAGGAAGUAAAAGUCGUAACAAGGUCUCCGUUGGUGAACCAGCGGAGGGAUCAUUACCGAGUUUACAACUCCCAAACCCCUGUGAACAUACCACUUGUUGCCUCGGCGGAUCAGCCCGCUCCCGGUAAAACGGGACGGCCCGCCAGAGGACCCCUAAACUCUGUUUCUAUAUGUAACUUCUGAGUAAAACCAUAAAUAAAUCAAAACUUUCAACAACGGAUCUCUUGGUUCUGGCAUCGAUGAAGAACGCAGCAAAAUGCGAUAAGUAAUGUGAAUUGCAGAAUUCAGUGAAUCAUCGAAUCUCUGAACGCACAUUGCGCCCGCCAGUAUUCUGGCGGGCAUGCCUGUUCGAGCGUCAUUUCAACCCUCAAGCACAGCUUGGUGUUGGGACUCGCGUUAAUUCGCGUUCCUCAAAUUGAUUGGCGGUCACGUCGAGCUUCCAUAGCGUAGUAGUAAAACCCUCGUUACUGGUAAUCGUCGCGGCCACGCCGUUAAACCCCAACUUCUGAAUGUUGACCUCGGAUCAGGUAGGAAUACCCGCUGAACUUAAGCAUAUCAAUAAGCGGAGGA